rnacentral:sRNA from 2 species
AGAUCGGGCCUUUCAGGCAUCCUCUCCUAAAACUUUCAAGGGUCGGCCCCAACGGGCCGGCCCCUUUUUUUGUCUCGA